AUGAGUUGCACAAUUGAUAAUGCACUUGCUGAUGCUAAAACUAUUGUUGAAAGAUUAAGAGAUCACAACGAUGCAGCAGAGUCUCUGAUUGAGCAAACCACAACUCUCAACAAGCAGUAGAAGCCAUGAAGCAGUAUCAGGAAGAAAUUCAAGAACUUAAUGAAGUCACAAGACAUCGGCCAUGGUCCACAUUAGUUAUGGGAAUCCAGCAAGAAGGGAGACAUAUCAGAGAAUUGCAACAAGAAACAAAAGAAUUGUGUACGUCCCUGGAAGAACAUCAGUCAGCCUUGGAACUUAUAAUGAGCAAGUAUAGACAACAAAUGUUUAGAUUGCUACUGGCUAGCAAAAAAGAUGAUCCAGGAAUAAUGAAGAAGUUAACAAGAGCAGCACUCCAAGGAACUGCAAGCACAUGUUGACCAGAUAACUGAAGUGGCAGCAGUAAUGAAAAAAGCCAUUGAAAUUGACAAGCAACAGGGUUGCAAGGAACAAGAACUAAUAUUUCAACUUGAACAAGAAAACAAAGGCUUGAGAGAGAUCCUUCAAAUAACUCGAGAAUCAUUUUUGAGCCUAAGGAAAGAUGAUGUGUCGGAAAGUACUUUGUCAGCAUUAGUGACCAACAGUGACUUGAGUCUGAGGAAGAGCUGAAGAGCUUCUGAGUCUGAGCUUCUUACAUGGCUCCAAAUGGUCAAAUAAGUGAAUGAGUGAAUGAACAGAAAAUUCAAUCCUUUAUUUUUUUCUCUUUAAAUAUGUACAGUGCACUGGCUAUGAGAGCAACAAAGAUGCAUAGUUAAUGGUCAUAGACUUUAUUCCAAAACAUAAUUGGAAAAUAGAAACUGAGCCAUUGCCAAUUGGUAAAGAAAUGAAAGGUUUUCACAGUGACUACUGAAUACACCAAGACUACUGAAUACACCGACUUUUGGCCAUGCUGCUGGCUUUCUGGGUGAUUGAUUAGAAUCUCCCUGGAAAAGAAGACAUGAAUAUCUGCAAUGAUACUUCCUGAUAAGAAGUUGAUACAAGAAAAGGAAAGGAGAUUGACAGCUAGUGAGCAGAAUUUCCAACAGCAGGAUUUAGUAUUUUUUGCUUCUAACUACACACUUCCAUUGCCCACUUUUGAAUCAGAGAUACCUACACUCAAAAUCCAGACAAGGCAAAAGGAUACUUUUCUUGUAUAUUUUUUGAGAUCUAAGAAACGGCAAUGUCCAGGAAACAGAGCCAGAAGGAUUCAUCAGGAUUCAUCUUUGAUUUACAGUCCAAUACUGUACUGGCCCAGGGAGGGGCUUUUGAGAACAUGAAAGAGAAGAUAAAUGCGGUACGUGCAAUAGUUCCCAAUAAGAGCAACAAUGAAAUCAUCCUGGUUUUGCAGCACUUUGAUAACUGUGUGGACAAAACAGUACAAGCAUUCAUGGAAGGUAGUGCCAGUGAAGUACUCAAAGAAUGGACAGUAACAGGCAAGAAAAAG